GGGCCAGUGCUUCCAUCCAUCUUCCCCUCCCCCGACGAUAGACUAGGAUUUCGCCACUGGUUUCCCCCUCUUCGAAGUCCCUCUCCUCGCAAUCGAAGUGCGUCAAGAUUCUGCUUCGAAGUAACAGUAGUACAGUACAAAUGUACCGCUAUUGGAGAACCACCCAUCGGCCGGCCGAAGAAUAAGCGGUUGCCUCGCAUUCAUUUUCCCUCUUCUAUGCCCCUCGUAAAAAACCGAAGGGCUAACAAGAGGUCAUCAAUGGUGGGCAUGGCGAAUGAUGUGAAGAUCCAGCAUCUCAAUGCCCAAUGUUUUGUCAUUGUUUUGGAAGAAAAAUAGCAAGACACACACUCGGUUAUCGAAGGGCGUUGACGGUUGACGUGUUGUUUGACGUGUUGUUCCUCGACGGUGCCAGCCUCGCUGCUCCACACUGGACGUUGUGGCUUGCGAUGUCUGACAAAGGCAGAUUUGUGGGACAAAAGGAAGUCAUCGAGUCUAGGUCGCACACAGUGCGUAGAGCAUAGCAGGGAGGGACUAUGACAUGACUGUAGUGGCGGUGCGACAUAGUAUUGCCGCUAGCAUAUAAAUUUGUUCUACAAACUGGCUAGUGGAUGGAAGCAAAUUUGUAGCCUGUAUGACACAUGUUACGAGCAUAAGGAAGCAUUGUAAUGUUUGACAUUU